GACGAACGCUGGCGGCGUGCCUAAUACAUGCAAGUCGAACGCAGUGGGGACGGGUGAGUAACACGUGGGUAACCUCCCAUCAGAGGGGAUAACACUUGGAAACAGGUGCUAAACCGCUACUGAUGGAUGGACCCGCGGUGCAUUAGCUAGUUUGUGAGGUAACGGCUCACCAAGGCCACGAUGCAUAGCCGACCUACGUGGGUGACCGGCACCACUGGGACUGAGCAACGGCCCAUACUCCUACGGAAGGCAGCGGUAGGGAAUCUUCGGCAAUGGACGAAAGUCUAACCGAGCAACGCCGCGUAAGUGAAGAAGGUUUUCGGAUCGUAAAACUCUGUUGUUAGAGAAGCGGUAUCUAACCAGAAAGCCACGGCUAACUACGUGCCAGCAGCCGCGGUAAUAC
rnacentral:rRNA from 1 species